rnacentral:sRNA from 1 species
AGUUCCGGUAGGUAAGGCUACCACAAGGAUACGGACUGCUGCCGCGGAGUAGUGGAGACACUAUGAGAAGGUCAACAGGCUAUGUCGAAUCAAGGCAUAUCCCAAUGCAAUUUCAAGGCGACGUCCCUUUCGCCACGCCCUGUGAUGCUAAAGCUCGAACGGUGGAG